rnacentral:rRNA from 1 species
UGCUGGAGGUAUCAGAAGUGCGAAUGCUGACAUGAGUAGCGUUAAAGGGGGUGAAAAGCCCCCUCGCCGUAAGCGCAAGGUUUUCUACGCAACGUUCAUCGGCGUAGAGUGAGUCGGCGCCUAACGCGAGGCAGAGAUGCGUAGCUGAUUGGAAACAGGUCAAUAUUCCUGUACCGAUCAAUAGUGCGAUGUGGGGACGGAGAAGGUUAGCUCAGCCAACUGUUGGAUAUGUUGGUUCAAGCCUGUAGUCGUGCCCGGUAGGCAAAUCCGCCGGGCUAAGAUGAG